AUGAACGCUGGCGGCGUGCCUCAUACCUGCAAGUCGAGCGAACAGACGAGGAGCUUGCUCCUUCGACGUUAGCGGCGGACGGGUGAGUAACACGUAGGUAACCUACCUAUAAGACUGGGAUAACUUCGGGAAACCGGAGCUAAUACCGGAUAAUAUUUCGAACCGCAUGGUUCGAUAGUGAAAGAUGGCUUUGCUAUCACUUAUAGAUGGACCUGCGCCGUAUUAGCUAGUUGGUAAGGUAACGGCUUACCAAGGCAACGAUACGUAGCCGACCUGAGAGGGUGAUCGGCCACACUGGAACUGAGACACGGUCCAGACUCCUACGGGAGGCAGCAGUAGGGAAUCUUCCGCAAUGGGCGAAAGCCUGACGGAGCAACGCCGCGUGAGUGAUGAAGGUCUUCGGAUCGUAAAACUCUGUUAUUAGGGAAGAACAAACGUGUAAGUAACUGUGCACGUCUUGACGGUACCUAAUCAGAAAGCCACGGCUAACUACGUG
rnacentral:rRNA from 1 species